rnacentral:rRNA from 1 species
UACGUAGGGUGCGAGCGUUAAUCGGAAUUACUGGGCGUAAAGCGUGCGCAGGCGGUUCGUUGUGUCUGAUGUGAAAGCCCCGGGCUCAACCUGGGAAUGGCAUUGGAAACUGGCGAGCUGGAGUGUGGCAGAGGGGGGUGGAAUUCCGCGUGUAGCAGUGAAAUGCGUAGAGAUGCGGAGGAACACCGAUGGCGAAGGCAGCCCCCUGGGCUAACACUGACGCUCAGGCACGAAAGCUAGGGGAGCGAACAGG